rnacentral:rRNA from 1 species
UACGUAGGGCGCAAGCGUUGUCCGGAAUUAUUGGGCGUAAAGAGCUCGUAGGCGGUUUGUCGCGUCUGCUGUGAAAACUCGAGGCUCAACCUCGGGCUUGCAGUGGGUACGGGCAGACUAGAGUGCGGUAGGGGAGACUGGAAUUCCUGGUGUAGCGGUGGAAUGCGCAGAUAUCAGGAGGAACACCCGUGGCUAAGGCGGCUCUCUAGUACGUGACU